CCUCUUUCCAUCUCUUUCUCUCCAUCCCUCUCUUCUCUCGGAGUAGUCCCAGGUCCCAUAGCGGUAGUGGUUUCAAAAACCUCAUUCCAUCUCUUUCUCUCCAUCCCUCUCUUCUCUCGGAGUAGUCCCAGGUCCCAUAGCGGUAGUGGUUUCAAAAACCUCAUUCCAUCUCUUUCUCUCCAUCCCUCUCUUCUCUCGGAGUAGUCCCAGGUCCCAUAGCGGUAGUGGUUUCAAAAACCUCAUUCCAUCUCUUUCUCUCCAUCCCUCUCUUCUCUCGGAGUAGUCCCAGGUCCCAUAGCGGUAGUGGUUUCAAAAACCUCAUUCCAUCUCUUUCUCUCCAUCCCUCUCUUCUCUCGGAGUAGUCCCAGGUCCCAUAGCGGUAGUGGUUUCAAAAACCUCUUUCCAUCUCUUUCUCUCCAUCCCUCUCUUCUCUCGGAGUAGUCCCAGGUCCCAUAGCGGUAGUGGUUUCAAAAACCUCUUUCCAUCUCUUUCUCUCCAUCCCUCUCUUCUCUCGGAGUAGUCCCAGGUCCCAUAGCGGUAGUGGUUUCAAAAACCUCAUUCCAUCUCUUUCUCUCCAUCCCUCUCUUCUCUCGGAGUAGUCCCAGGUCCCAUAGCGGUAGUGGUUUCAAAAACCUCAUUCCAUCUCUUUCUCUCCAUCCCUCUCUUCUCUCGGAGUAGUCCCAGGUCCCAUAGCGGUAGUGGUUUCAAAAACCUCUUUCCAUCUCUUUCUCUCCAUCCCUCUCUUCUCUCGGAGUAGUCCCAGGUCCCAUAGCGGUAGUGGUUUCAAAAACCUCUUUCCAUCUCUUUCUCUCCAUCCCUCUCUUCUCUCGGAGUAGUCCCAGGUCCCAUAGCGGUAGUGGUUUCAAAAACCUCUUUCCAUCUCUUUCUCUCCAUCCCUCUCUUCUCUCGGAGUAGUCCCAGGUCCCAUAGCGGUAGUGGUUUCAAAAACCUCUUUCCAUCUCUUUCUCUCCAUCCCUCUCUUCUCUCGGAGUAGUCCCAGGUCCCAUAGCGGUAGUGGUUUCAAAAACCUCUUUCCAUCUCUUUCUCUCCAUCCCUCUCUUCUCUCGGAGUAGUCCCAGGUCCCAUAGCGGUAGUGGUUUCAAAAACCUCUUUCCAUCUCUUUCUCUCCAUCCCUCUCUUCUCUCGGAGUAGUCCCAGGUCCCAUAGCGGUAGUGGUUUCAAAAACCUAA